rnacentral:rRNA from 1 species
UGGGGAAUUUUGGACAAUGGGGGCAACCCUGAUCCAGCCAUGCCGCGUGCGGGAAGAAGGCCUUCGGGUUGUAAACCGCUUUUGGUCGGAAAGAAAAGCCCGGAGUUAAUACCUCGGGGUCUUGACGGUACCGGCAGAAUAAGCACCGGCUAACUACGUGCCAGCAGCCGCGGUAAUACGUAGGGUGCGAGCGUUAAUCGGAAUUACUGGGCGUAAAGCGUGCGCAGGUGGUUUGUUAAGUCUGCUGUGAAAGCCCCGGGCUCAACCUGGGAAUGGCAGUAGAAACUGGCGAGCUAGAGUGUGGCAGAGGGGGGUGGAAUUCCACGUGUAGCAGUGAAAUGCGUAGAGAUGUGGAGGAACACCAAUGGCGAAGGCAGCCCCCUGGGUUAACACUGACACUCAGGCACGAAAGCGUGGGGAGCAAACAG